rnacentral:rRNA from 1 species
CACGUAAGUUGCGAGCNUUGUUCGGAAUUAUUGGGCGUAAAGGGCAUGUAGGCGGUAUGGCAAGCCUGAUGUGAAAUCUCCGGGCUUAACCCNGAGGUGCAUUGGGAACUUUCAUACUUGAAUUGCUGAGGGGAAGCCGGAAUUCCUAGUGUAGGGGUGAAAUCUGUAGAUAUUAGGAAGAACACCAAUGGCGAAGGCAGGCUUCUGGCAGACGAUUGACGCUGAGGUGCGAAGGUGCGGGGAGCGAACAGGAUUAGAUACCCUGGUAGUCCGCACAGUAAACGAUGUACACUAGGUGUC